UUGAACGCUGGCGGCAGGCCUAACACAUGCAAGUCGAGCGGUAACACAGAGAGCUUGCUCUCGGGUGACGAGUGGCGGACGGGUGAGUAAUGUCUGGGAAACUGCCUGAUGGAGGGGGAUAACUACUGGAAACGGUAGCUAAUACCGCAUAACGUCGCAAGACCAAAGUGGGGGACCUUCGGGCCUCAUGCCAUCAGAUGUGCCCAGAUGGGAUUAGCUAGUAGGUGGGGUAACGGCUCACCUAGGCGACGAUCCCUAGCUGGUCUGAGAGGAUGACCAGCCACACUGGAACUGAGACACGGUCCAGACUCCUACGGGAGGCAGCAGUGGGGAAUAUUGCACAAUGGGCGCAAGCCUGAUGCAGCCAUGCCGCGUGUGUGAAGAAGGCCUUCGGGUUGUAAAGCACUUUCAGCGGGGAGGAAGGCGGUGAGGUUAAUAACCUCAUCGAUUGACGUUACCCGCAGAAGAAGCACCGGCUAACUCCGUGCCAGCAGCCGCGGUAAUACGGAGGGUGCAAGCGUUAAUCGGAAUUACUGGGCGUAAAGCGCACGCAGGCGGUCUGUCAAGUCGGAUGUGAAAUCCCCGGGCUCAACCUGGGAACUGCAUUCGAAACUGGCAGGCUAGAGUCUUGUAGAGGGGGGUAGAAUUCCAGGUGUAGCGGUGAAAUGCGUAGAGAUCUGGAGGAAUACCGGUGGCGAAGGCGGCCCCCUGGACAAAGACUGACGCUCAGGUGCGAAAGCGUGGGGAGCAAACAGGAUUAGAUACCCUGGUAGUCCACGCCGUAAACGAUGUCGAUUUGGAGGUUGUGCCCUUGAGGCGUGGCUUCCGGAGCUAACGCGUUAAAUCGACCGCCUGGGGAGUACGGCCGCAAGGUUAAAACUCAAAUGAAUUGACGGGGGCCCGCACAAGCGGUGGAGCAUGUGGUUUAAUUCGAUGCAACGCGAAGAACCUUACCUGGUCUUGACAUCCACAGAACUUUCCAGAGAUGGAUUGGUGCCUUCGGGAACUGUGAGACAGGUGCUGCAUGGCUGUCGUCAGCUCGUGUUGUGAAAUGUUGGGUUAAGUCCCGCAACGAGCGCAACCCUUAUCCUUUGUUGCCAGCGGUUCGGCCGGGAACUCAAAGGAGACUGCCAGUGAUAAACUGGAGGAAGGUGGGGAUGACGUCAAGUCAUCAUGGCCCUUACGACCAGGGCUACACACGUGCUACAAUGGCAUAUACAAAGAGAAGCGACCUCGCGAGAGCAAGCGGACCUCAUAAAGUAUGUCGUAGUCCGGAUUGGAGUCUGCAACUCGACUCCAUGAAGUCGGAAUCGCUAGUAAUCGUAGAUCAGAAUGCUACGGUGAAUACGUUCCCGGGCCUUGUACACACCGCCCGUCACACCAUGGGAGUGGGUUGCAAAAGAAGUAGGUAGCUUAACCUUCGGGAGGGCGCUUACCACUUUGUGAUUCAUGACUGGGGUG
rnacentral:rRNA from 1 species